CCUACGGGAGGCAGCAGUGGGGAAUUUUUGACAAUGGACGCAAGUCUGAUCCAGCCAUGCCGCGUGCGGGAAGAAGGCCUUCGGGUUGUAAACCGCUUUUGUCAGGGAAGAAAUCUUCUGGGUUAAUACCUCGGGAGGAUGACGGUACCUGAAGAAUAAGCACCGGCUAACUACGUGCCAGCAGCCGCGGUAAUACGUAGGGUGCAAGCGUUAAUCGGAAUUACUGGGCGUAAAGCGUGCGCAGGCGGUUAUGCAAGACAGGUGUGAAAUCCCCGAGCUCAACUUGGGAACUGCACUUGUGACUGCAUAGCUAGAGUACGGUAGAGGGGAGUGGAAUUCCGCGUGUAGCAGUGAAAUGCGUAGAUAUGCGGAGGAACACCGAUGGCGAAGGCAACUCCCUGGACCUGUACUGACGCUCAUGCACGAAAGCGUGGGGAGCAAACAGGAUUAGAUACCCUGGUAGUCCACGCCCUAAACGAUGUCAACUGGUUGUUGGGAGGGUUUCUUCUCAGUAACGUAGCUAACGCGUGAAGUUGACCGCCUGGGGAGUACGGCCACAAGGUUGAAACUCAAAUGAAUUGACGG
rnacentral:rRNA from 1 species